AAGUCGCACGCCCGCAAGGGAGUGGCGCACGGGUGCGUAACACGUAUGCAACCUGCCUUCGACUCGUGAAUAGCCCCGGGAAACUGGGAUUAAUACACGAUGUGGCCGCGAGGAGGCAUCUUUUUGCGGUCAAAGUUUCGGCGGUCGAAGAUGGGCAUGCGUCCCAUUAGCUAGUUGGGGGGGUAACGGCCCACCAAGGCGACGAUGGGUAACUGGUCUGAGAGGAUGAUCAGUCACACUGGCACUGAGACACGGGCCAGACUCCUACGGGAGGCAGCAGUAGGGAAUAUUGGGCAAUGGGCGAAAGCCUGACCCAGCCACCCCGCGUGCAGGACGACGGUCUUAUGGAUUGUAAACUGCUUUUGUCCGAGAAGAAAAAAGCGAUUUAUCGCACUUGACGGUAUCGGACGAAUAAGCACCGGCUAAUUCCGUGCCAGCAGCCGCGGUAAUACGGAAGGUGCAAGCGUUAUCCGGAUUUACUGGGUUUAAAGGGUACGUAGGCGGCUUAUCAAGUCAGUGGUGAAAGCCCGGCGCUCAACGCCGGAACUGCCAUUGAAACUGGUUCGCUAGAGUAUGGUCGAGGUCUUUGGAAUGUAACAUGU
rnacentral:rRNA from 1 species